UGUAUUGCAGAUAAAGGCCAAUUUGAUGCAUGAUCUAGGUAAAAAUUAAGUCUGUCCAUUUUUUGCUCACAACAACAUGCCAACUUCUAGAUUUUCUUAGUCCCAAAGAUUUAUUAUGUAUAAAGUGUAUUGUAGUUGUUGAUCAAGUGAUUGUUUUAUGUCUGUUUUAUAUGCAAAAAAAAUAUAAUCAAGUUAUGUGUUUAAAAAUGAAAACAAAUACUUUCGGCUCUAUAUUUUGUGAUUACACAGGUUUGUAGGAAGUCACUUGGAAAAAGUGAUCAAACUAUAUUGUUUAUUUGUUUCUGUAUUUUCAUGUCUAAAUGUAUUAUCUUUCAGGAGAUAUACUUGGAGCAUCAGAAUUAUAAGUGCAUCUACAAGAGCAAUUACAACAAUUCUCCAUCAGGUUGGUGUUUAGAAAUCUCAUAUGCAAAUGUGGGAAGACGAUGCCUCAUCAAUGACGAGUAGGUUGAAUCUCUCCUAGCGGCACCAUUGCUCACCACAACUGGUUUGCUUGAGCAACUUAAUGUCACUCUCAAGAGGGACCACCCUUCGACUGACACCUUGAAGCACCACAUAAGCUUUAGAAAGUUGGAAUUGUACUUCGUAUACAUAAAUUACCAUGAUAUUAUAUGUUCCUGUAAUUCUAUGUUGAUUCUUUAGAAAUAAUAUAUACGAUAUUGUAAUGUUUGUUCGACAUCAGUUGAUUUUAUUUGAGUUGACGUAUUUAUAAUAAUAUUAUAUAUUUAUAUUGUCA